rnacentral:rRNA from 1 species
GCGUGCUUAACACAUGCAAGUCGAACGAUGACCCCGUGCUUGCACGGGUGAUUAGUGGCGAACGGGUGAGUAACACGUGAGUAACCUGCCCCCGACUUUGGGAUAAGCCCGGGAAACUGGGUCUAAUACCGGAUAUGACUUCUUACCGCAUGGUGGGUUGUUGAAAGAUUUAUCGGUGGGGGAUGGACUCGCGGCCUAUCAGCUUGUUGGUGAGGUAAUGGCUCACCAAGGCGACGACGGGUAGCCGGCCUGAGAGGGUGACCGGCCACACUGGGACUGAGACACGGCCCAGACUCCUACGGGAGGCAGCAGUGGGGAAUAUUGCACAAUGGGCGAAAGCCUGAUGCAGCGACGCCGCGUGAGGGAUGACGGCCUUCGGGUUGUAAACCUCUUUCAGUAGGGAAGAAGCGAAAGUGACGGUACCUGCAGAAGAAGCGCCGGCUAACUACGUGCCAGCAGCCGCGGUAAUACGUAGGGCGCAAGCGUUAUCCGGAUUUAUUGGGCGUAAAGAGCUCGUAGGCGGUUUGUCGCGUCUGCCGUGAAAGUCCGAGGCUCAACCUCGGAUCUGCGGUGGGUACGGGCAGACUAGAGUGAUGUAGGGGAGACUGGAAUUCCUGGUGUAGCGGUGAAAUGCGCAGAUAUCAGGAGGAACACCGAUGGCGAAGGCAGGUCUCUG